rnacentral:rRNA from 1 species
UACGUAGGGGGCAAGCGUUGUCCGGAUUUAUUGGGCGUAAAGAGCGUGUAGGCGGCCGAGUAAGUCCGACGUGAAAUCUGGAGGCUCAACCUCCAGCGGUCGUUGGAAACUACUCGGCUAGAGUCCGGAAGAGGAGAGUGGAAUUCCUGGUGUAGCGGUGAAAUGCGCAGAUAUCAGGAAGAACACCGAUGGCGAAAGCAGCUCUCUGGGACGGUACUGACGCUGAGACGCGAAAGCGUGGGGAGCGGACAGG